UGAAUACGAGACGCUACGGCGUCGAAGCAGUCUAUGUCAUACUUCCAAGAAAAGCUUGCACUGUCAUAAACAAAUAAUGCCUGUACCAUAACCGACACAGGUGGGUAGGUAGAGUAUACUAAGGGGCGCGAGAUAACUCUCUCUAAGGAACUCGGCAAAAUGACUCCGUAACUUCGGGAGAAGGAGUGCCUUAUUUAUAAGGUUGCAAUAACAAGAUCCAAGCAACUGUUUAUCAAAAACACAGGUCUCCGCUAAGUCGCAAGACGAUGUAUGGGGGCUGACGCCUGCCCAGUGCCAGAAGGUUAAAGAAGUUGGUUAGCAUUAGCGAAGCUGAUAACUGAAGCCCUGGUGAACGGCGGCCGUAACUAUAACGGUCCUAAGGUAGCGAAAUUCCUUGUCGGGUAAGUUCCGACCCGCACGAAAGGCGUAAUGAUUUGGAUACUGUCUCGGAGAGGGACUCGGUGAAAUAGACUUGUCUGUGAAGAUGCGGACUACCUGCACCAGGACAGAAAGACCCUAUGAAGCUUUACUGUAACCUGAAAUUGAAAUUGGACUUUAUUUGCGCAGUAUAGGUGGGAGGCAUUGAUAAUAUUCUUGCGGGAAUGUUGGAGCCAUCAGUGAGAUACCACUCUUGUAAUGUUAGAUUUCUAACUUUGUAUCAUUAUCUGGUCAAAGAACAGUUUCAGGCGGGCAGUUUGACUGGGGCGGUCGCCUCCCAAAUGGUAACGGAGGCGCACAAAGGUUUCCUCUGAACGGGUAGAAAUUGUAUCUAGAGUGUAAAGGCAUAAGGAAGCUUGACUGUGAGACCUACAAGUCGAGCAGGGACGAAAGUCGGUCUUAGUGAUCUGACGGUGCUGAGUGGAAAGGCCGUCACUCAACGGAUAAAAGUUACUCUAAGGAUAACAGGCUGAUCUCCCCCAAGAGUUCACAUCGACGGGGAGGUUUGGCACCUCGAUGUCGGCUCAUCGCAUCCUGGGGCGGUAGUACGUCCCAAGGGUUGGGCUGUUCGCCCAUGAAAGCGGUACGCGAGCUGGGUUCAGAACGUCGUGAGACAGUUCGGUCCAUAUCCGGUGUAGGCGUUAGAAUAUUGAGAGGAGCCUUCUUUAGUACGAGAGGACCGAGAAGGACAUACCUCUGGUGUACCAGUUAUCGUGCCAACGGUAAACGCUGGGUAGCUAUGUAUGGAGAGGAUAACCGCUGAAAGCAUCUAAGUGGGAAGCCCACCUCAAGAUAAGUAUUCU
rnacentral:rRNA from 1 species